AUUGCCCUAGUAACGGCGAGUGAAGCGGCAAAAGCUCAAAUUUGAAAUCUGGCUUCUUUGGAAGCCCGAGUUGUAAUUUGCAGAGGGUGCUUUGGCGGUGGCAGCGGUCCAAGUUCCUUGGAACAGGACGUCGCAGAGGGUGAGAAUCCCGUAUGUGGCUGCUCGUCACUGUCAUGUAAAGCCCCUUCGACGAGUCGAGUUGUUUGGGAAUGCAGCUCUAAAUGGGAGGUAAAUUUCUCCUAAAGCUAAAUACUGGCCAGAGACCGAUAGCGCACAAGUAGAGUGAUCGAAAGAUGAAAAGCACUUUGGAAAGAGAGUCAAAAAGCACGUGAAAUUGUUGAAAGGGAAGCGCUUGCAGCCAGACUUGUCGGCAGUUGUUUUCUUCUGCCGGCAGGCCAGCAUCAGUCCAGGCGGUUGGAUAAAGGCCUCUGUCAAGUAUCUCCCUUCGGGGUGACCUUAUAGGGGGGGUGUAAUGCAGCCAGCCUGGAUUGAGGGCCGCGCAUCUGCUAGGAUGCUGGCGUAAUGGCUGUAAGCGGCCCGUCUUGAAACACGGACCAAGGAGUCUAACAUCCAUGCGAGUGUUUGGGUGUCAAGCCCAGGCGCGCAAUGAAAGUGAACGGAGGUGGGAACCCUUUGGGGUGCACCAUCGACCGAUCCUGAAGUCUUCGGAUGGAUUUGAGUAAGAGCAUGGCUGUUGGGACCCGAAAGAUGGUGAACUAUGCUUGAAUAGGGUGAAGCCAGAGGAAACUCUGGUGGAGGCUCGCAGCGGUUCUGACGUGCAAAUCGAUCGUCAAAUUUGGGCAUAGGGGCGAAAGACUAAUCGAACU
rnacentral:rRNA from 1 species